AGUAGCUUGGCCGAUUGGACGAGGCGCUGGUCUACGAAGCCAGUUAGGUAGGUUCGAUCCCUACAGUUACUACCA
rnacentral:tRNA from 1 species